rnacentral:rRNA from 1 species
GGUGAACGCUAGCGGGAGGCCUAACACAUGCAAGCCGAGCGGUAUUUGUUCUUCGGAACAGAGAGAGCGGCGCACGGGUGCGGAACACGUGUGCAACCUGCCUUUAUCUGGGGGAUAGCCUUUCGAAAGGAAGAUUAAUACCCCAUAAUAUAUUGAGUGGCAUCAUUUGAUAUUGAAAACUCCGGUGGAUAGAGAUGGGCACGCGCAAGAUUAGAUAGUUGGUGAGGUAACGGCUCACCAAGUCAAUGAUCUUUAGGGGGCCUGAGAGGGUGAUCCCCCACACUGGUACUGAGACACGGACCAGACUCCUACGGGAGGCAGCAGUGAGGAAUAUUGGACAAUGGGUUAGCGCCUGAUCCAGCCAUCCCGCGUGAAGGACGACGGCCCUAUGGGUUGUAAACUUCUUUUGUAUAGGGAUAAACCUACUCUCGUGAGAGUAGCUGAAGGUACUAUACGAAUAAGCACCGGCUAACUCCGUG